GCCCGGUUAGCUCAAUCGGUAGAGCGUGAGACUCUUAAUCUCAAGGGUAAGUAGCCACUGCAGUCUAGACAUCAUAGCAUAUCUAACGAACGGCGCAGUUGCGGGUUCGACCCCCGCAUCGGGCU